CAAAAAAUAGUUUAUAAGAAUAUUAAUUUUGGAGAUUAAAGGUAUAAAAAUUUUAAUUAUUUUUUUGA
rnacentral:tRNA from 1 species